GGAGACGUAUCGAAGUGGUCAUAACGAGCCUGACUCGAAAUCAGGUUGCCGGGUAACCGACACGUGGGUUCAAAUCCCACCGUCUCCGCCA
rnacentral:tRNA from 1 species